GACGAACCGUCCAAACGUUAUUCGGAAUUACUGGGCUUAAAGGGUGCGUAGGCGGCGCGGCAAGUUGGGUGUGAAAUCCCUCGGCUCAACCGAGGAACUGCGCUCAAUACUGCCGUGCUCGAGGGAGAUAGAGGUGAGCGGAACUUAGGGUGGAGCGGUGAAAUGCGUUGAUAUCCUAAGGAACACCGGUGGCGAAAGCGGCUCACUGGAUCUCUUCUGACGCUGAGGCACGAAAGCGAGGGUAGCAAACGGG
rnacentral:rRNA from 1 species